UACGGAGGGUGCGAGCGUUGUCCGGAAUCAUUGGGCGUAAAGGGCGCGUAGGUGGCGCGGUAAGCGUGCGGUGAAAGCCUGGGGCUCAACCCCGGGUCGGCCGUGCGAACUGCUGGGCUUGAGCACUGUAGAGGCAGGCGGAAUUCCGGGUGUAGCGGUGGAAUGCGUAGAGAUCCGGAGGAACACCGGUGGCGAAGGCGGCCUGCUGGGCAGUUGCUGACACUGAGGCGCGACAGCGUGGGGAGCAAACAGG
rnacentral:rRNA from 1 species